AGGGCACAUGUUUGGUGUGAUCUUGCAUUUCUGACUCUGAGGUGCCAGGAGUGUGUCUGUGUGUGUAUUUGGGGUCUUGAGAACCCCUCUUCCACCUGUCCCACAGGUGGCCCUGGGAGGGUGAUUCUUCCCCAAAAUAAGCCUCAGUUUUUUCUUAUUGGGGAUGGAGGGGGCUCAAUGACCUCCGAAGAAAUGCCUGUGUGAAAGGGAAGGUGGGAGGAGAUGGGCGAGGCCAGGGAGAGGCUGAGAAACGUGAUGGGGAGCCGGCCAGGACGGGGACGGAGGAAGAGCUGCGCAGAGAGAUGUUUGUCUCUCGACUCGAGGGGCAUUUGCUGAGUUCCUGCGAUGUGCCAAGACCUCUGGUGGGCAUUGGUUCAAGGUCUGGGGGAAAGCAUAGAGAUCCAGAGAGAUGAAGGCCUGCCAGGAAAGCUGUUGGCCCCAUGGUGGCCCAUCUAUGUCCACCGUGGGCUUAGUGAUGGAGACACAGUGAUGGAGAGGGACCCAGAGGACCCUGCCCCUCCCCUGUCUUUCCUGAGGCCUAAUCUGUCCAGAUGAAAGGACAGAGGCCAUGAGGGGAAAGUCUCCUCCCAGACUGGGGGCAUCCCCAUGAAUCAUUUUCUUAUCAUCUCCUAAUAGGAUAAUGACACACCUGCCCCCUCCUAAUCACUAUUUUCGACCCCAACCGGGCCCAACGCCCACAGUGAGAAGAGUUAGCCAAGUCUGGUAUUUUGGAAUCAAGAGAGGAAAUACCCCAAAAGUCCCAUCCUUGGUCCUUCCAAUCCCAGAACCUAGGAGUCCUCAGCCCCAGCCCCCUCACCUCCACCCCAGGAGUCCUUGCUCUUAGCCCCUCUCCUUUGUUUGCUGUCUACCUUUUGUAAUCUCUCUGGGCCUUUUAUCUCUUUGUCUGUUAAUCUCCAUCUGUGUUUUGUGUCCCUCCUAUUUCUUUACAUCUGCAUCUUGAUUCCUCCUCACUGGGCAUCAAUUUUCUCACUUGUAAAAUGGGGAUGAUAGUCAUAAUAAUCUGAUCUUUUAGAACUGUAAUGAGAAAGACAUGAGAUAAUUAUAUAAAAUGCUUUGCAGAGAACCGGGGUCACAGGGAACCCCAUACAAGAGAGCGCUGUUAUAAUUAUUGUUUUCAAUAUUUUAAUCUCGCUUGGUAUCUGUAUUUUUCUCCUUGUCUCCACGUGUCUCCUCCCACUCUAGGUUCCCUUUGCAGACAGCACCCUGGCUUCCCUUUUAAGGGAUGUGGGAAGGACAUAUUGAGGCCAGAGCUUCCACUAAGGCUCCUCCUCUUCAUCGCUAUUCUAAGCCCUACCUCGAGACCCACAAUUCUUGCCUGGGGACAAGGGCUGGCUCCAGUCCCAUAAAUAGCCACAUAAUAUCCUGAACCUCCAAUCUGUCAUCCCUGGGCAGGCCGGUGACUCCUGGGAGUACCUGUCCUCACACCCCGACCUUUCAGGUUCCUAGCUCCCUCCUCCCUCAAGAUCAACCAUUCAGAAGUCUAGGUUCUUCAGUCCUUCCUCCCUCAGAUCCCAGUGGCGUGGCCAGAAACCAAAUUCUGGGUCCUUUGCAAUCCACCACGCCCUCAGUACCGCCCCUUUGCGUUUUUUCCCCCGAGGCGGGUCUGACUUAAAAGGGCGCUAGCCGUGAUAAGCUCUCUUUGACGUCAAUCUUCAUCCUCCAGCCAGUAGACGCUCCGCCUCCUAUCUCCCUGGGCCUCUCAGGGCACGUUCCGUGGUAGGCGGGGCCCACAGCCUAAAUCGCACAGCGAUAGGCUCGGGAAGACGCCAGUCUGCCAAUAGGACCGGCACCCGCGGGGUGGGAUUCCCGCGGUGCGCCUCAGAGGCUGGAACUGCUCGUGAGGGAAACAGGUUCGGCGGGUCCAGUCGGAACAAAACCAAACCGACUGGCGAGGUAGGGCCAGGCCCCCCGCCCUGCGGCGGUCACAGCAGCAGUAGAAGGCAAUGAAGGAGUGCAGCUCCAGCUGUCCACGGAGACUGGUUUGUUGCUCCCCGAAGGACACCAGCCCGAUGGAGAUGGUCUGCAGGAAUGGCCGGAUGGCAGGCGUGAACUGUGGAGAAAUGCCACUGUGUCACCUGCUGCCCAGGAUCCGGUCCCCCAGAUCUGAAGGAUCUGGGGACCGGAGGCAGUAAGAGGUGAGAGGCAGAGAUGUGGUUUGGGGGGAGACGUGAUCAUUCAACACACAUUUAGUGACCUACUGCAUGCCUGGCACUGCUCUAGGUGUCUUCACAGAGCUAACAUCAAAGGGAAAGCCAACAGUAAGCAAAUAAAGGCAUAUGUUAUAUGA